rnacentral:snRNA from 1 species
CUUCAGAUAAUAUGCAUAAAAACCAAUCUCAACUGAAUAAAGAAUUUGCGAACUAUUUUUUCGCCUUUUACUAUAGAACACCGUGUGCUCGCCACUUAAAAUGGCAUACACCUAUUUUUGGCAGGGGCCAUGUCGUAAGGGGUUG